rnacentral:rRNA from 1 species
ACGAACGCUGGCGGCGUGCUUCACCCAUGCCAGUCGCACGGAAAGGCCCUGCUUUUGUGGGGUGCUCGAGUGGCGAACGGGUGAGUAACACGUGAGUAACCUGCCCUUGACUUUGGGAUAACUUCAGGAAACUGGGGCUAAUACCGGAUAGGAGCUCCUGCUGCAUGGUGGGGGUUGGAAAGUUUCGGCGGUUGGGGAUGGACUCGCGGCUUAUCAGCUUGUUGGUGGGGUAGUGGCUUACCAAGGCUUUGACGGGUAGCCGGCCUGAGAGGGUGACCGGCCACAUUGGGACUGAGAUACGGCCCAGACUCCUACGGGAGGCAGCAGUGGGGAAUAUUGCACAAUGGGCGGAAGCCUGAUGCAGCAACGCCGCGUGCGGGAUGACGGCCUUCGGGUUGUAAACCGCUUUCGCCUGUGACGAAGCGUGAGUGACGGUAAUGGGUAAAGAAGCACCGGCUAACUACGUGC